CCUACGGGAGGCAGCAGUAAGGAAUAUUGGGCAAUGGGCGAAAGCCUGACCCAGCAACGCCGCGUGAGGGACGAAGGCCUUCUGGUUGUAAACCUCUUUUCUGGGGGACGAGACCAGGACGGUACCUCAGGAAUACGUCUCGGCUAACUACGUGCCAGCAGCCGCGGUAAGACGUAGGAGGCGAGCGUUAUCCGGAUUUACUGGGCGUAAAGCGCACGCAGGCGGCUUCGUUAGUCGGAUGUGAAAGCUCCGGGCUUAAGUGGGAGAGGGCAUGCGAUACUGGGGGGCUUGAGGUUGGAAGAGGUGUGGGGAAUUCCCGGUGUAGGGGUGAAAUGCGUAGAUAUCGGGAGGAACACCGGUGGCGAAGGCGGCCCCCGGGUCCACACCUGACGCGGAGGUGCGAAAGCGUGGGGAGCAAACAGGAUUAGAUCCCCCUGUAGU
rnacentral:rRNA from 1 species